UACGUAGGGUGCAAGCGUUAAUCGGAAUUACUGGGCGUAAAGCGUGCGCAGGCGGUGAUGUAAGUCAGGUGUGAAAUCCCCGGGCUUAACCUGGGAACUGCAUUUGUGACUGCAUCGCUGGAGUGCGGCAGAGGGGGAUGGAAUUCCGCGUGUAGCAGUGAAAUGCGUAGAUAUGCGGAGGAACACCGAUGGCGAAGGCAAUCCCGUGGGCCUGCACUGACGCUCAUGCACGAAAGCGUGGGGAGCAAACAGG
rnacentral:rRNA from 1 species